GACGAACGCUGGCGGCGUGCUUAACACAUGCAAGUCGAACGGAAAGGCCCUGCUUUUGUGGGGUGCUCGAGUGGCGAACGGGUGAGUAACACGUGAGUAACCUGCCCUUGACUUUGGGAUAACUUCAGGAAACUGGGGCUAAUACCGGAUAGGAGCUCCUGCUGCAUGGUGGGGGUUGGAAAGUUUCGGCGGUUGGGGAUGGACUCGCGGCUUAUCAGCUUGUUGAUGGGGCAGUGGCUUACCAAGGCUUUGACGGGUAGCCGGCCUGAGAGGGUGACCGGCCACAUUGGGACUGAGAUACGGCCCAGACUCCUACGGGAGGCAGCAGUGGGGAAUAUUGCACAAUGGGCGGAAGCCUGAUGCAGCAACGCCGCGUGCGGGAUGACGGCCUUCGGGUUGUAAACCGCUUUCGCCUGUGACGAAGCGUGAGUGACGGUAAUGGGUAAAGAAGCACCGGCUAACUACGUG
rnacentral:rRNA from 1 species